rnacentral:misc_RNA from 1 species
GUGAAUCAUCAAAUCUUUGAACGCAAAUUGCACUCUUGGGUAUUCCGGAGAGUAUGCCUGUUUGAGGGUCAGUUAAAAUAAAAAUCGGCGUGGUUGCUGACUGUCGUGGUGACGCAUGGGAUUUGGGUCGUCUUGUCUUCGGUUAAGAGACGUAACAAUGUGCAUGAAUUCUUUCGAAGGUGUUUAAAUGAUUUUAGGUACGUUUGCGAUAUUGAAGACUAGGUGUGGUCAUCGUCAUGAUUC